CACUCUAGAGAGACUGCCAGGGAUAACCUGGAGGAAGGUGGGGCUGACGUCAAAUCAUCAUGCCCCUUAUGCUUAGGGCUACACACGUGCUACAAUGGGUAGUACAGAGGGUUGCCAAGCCGUAAGGUGGAGCUAAUCCCUUAAAGCUACUCUUAGUUCGGAUUGUAGGCUGAAACUCGCCUACAUGAAGCUGGAGUUACUAGUACUCGCAGCUCAGAAUGCUGCGGUGAAUGCGUUCCCGGGUCUUGUACACACCGCCCGUCACACCCCGGGAGUUGGAGCCGCCCGAAGCCGACUAUCGAACCUGUUGGAAGAAGUCGUCGAAGGUGGAAUCAAUAACUGGGGUGAAGUCGUAACAAGGUAGCCGGAUCGGAAGGUGCGGCUGGAUCACCUCCU
rnacentral:rRNA from 1 species